AUUGAACGCUGGCGGCAUGCCUUACACAUGCAAGUCGAACGGUAACAGGUCUUCGGAUGCUGACGAGUGGCGAACGGGUGAGUAAUACAUCGGAACGUGCCUAGUAGUGGGGGAUAACUACUAGAAAGAGUGGAUAAUACCGGAUGAGAUAUACGGAUGAAAGCAGGGGAACGCAAGAGCUUGGGCUACUGAGGCGGAUGGUGGCAGGUUGGGUAGUUGGUGGGAUAAAAUCUUACCAAGCCGACGAUCUGUAGCUGGUCUGAGAGGACGAUCAGCCACACUGGGACUGAGACACGGCCCAGACUCCUACGGGAGACAGCAGUGGGGAAUUUUGGACAAUGGGCUCAAUCCUGAUCCAGCAAUGCCGCGUGCAGGAUGAAGGCCUUCGGGUUGUAAACUGCUUUUGUACGGAACGAAAAGCCCCGGGUUAAUACCCUGGGGUCAUGACGGUACCGUAAGAAUAAGCACCGGCUAACUACGUGCCAGCAGCCGCAGUAA
rnacentral:rRNA from 1 species